UGCACUUUUGGGCUACAUCACUCUUGCAGGGGGUGCAUAAGGUACCAAGGAGUGGUGAACCGCCACAUCCGCUUGCCUUGAGUGGCUCUCCUCGUCGGAGCAUUGAGAGCUACGAGAGGAACCAUGACCUUAGGCCCAAUUGAUCUUCUCCAUGACCCUCUUCUUCAUCUUAGCUGCAGGGGUGAGUCUAGCUAAACUCCUACUACCACUACUAUGCAACUAAAACUGAAUAUUUUUGGUGUUUUGGUUUAUGAGAUGCUAGAACUAAACUAAGCUUGAGAAGAGACUUUCCACAAAGAAGGAAAGAAGGGGACUUGUGAGCUCGAGAUGAUUCUG
rnacentral:lncRNA from 1 species